rnacentral:misc_RNA from 1 species
AACGCACAUUGCGCCCUGUGGUAUUCCGCAGGGCAUGCCUGUUCGAGCGUCAGUACAACACUCAAGCCUAGCUUGGUCUUGGGCCUCGCCGGAGAUGGCGGGCCUUAAAAUCAGUGGCGGCGCCUGUUAGGCCCUAAGCGUAGUAAUACUCCUCGCUACAGGGACCCGGCAGACGCUGGCCAGCAACCCCCAACUUUCUAAGUUUGACCUCGGAUCAGGUAGGGAUACCCGCUGAACUUAA